ACAUGCAAGUCGAGGGGCAGCGCGAGGUAGCAAUACCUUGGCGGCGACCGGCGCAAGGGUGCGUAACGCGUGAGCAAUCUGCCCGUAUCAGGGGGAUAAGCGAUGGAAACGUCGUCUAAUACCGCAUAACACAUUGGGAGGCAUCUUCCGAUGUUGAAAGCUUCGGUGGAUACGGAUGAGCUCGCGAGACAUUAGUUAGUUGGCGGGGUAACGGCCCACCAAGACCGCGAUGUCUAGGGGAACUGAGAGGUUGGUCCCCCACACUGGAACUGAGACACGGUCCAGACUCCUACGGGAGGCAGCAGUGAGGAAUAUUGGACAAUGGCCGGAAGGCUGAUCCAGCCAUGCCGCGUGAAGGAAUAAGGUCCUAUGGAUUGUAAACUUCUUUUGAGUGGGAGCAAUA
rnacentral:rRNA from 1 species